rnacentral:rRNA from 1 species
GACGAACGCUGGCGGCGGGCUUAACACAUGCAAGUCGAACGGAAAGGCCCUGCUUUUGUGGGGUGCUCGAGUGGCGAACGGGUGAGUAACACGUGAGUAACCUGACCUUGACUUUGGGAUAACUUCAGGAAACUGGGGCUAAUACCGGAUAGGAGCUCCUGCUGCAGGGUGGGGGUUGGAAAGUUUCGGCGGUUGGGGAUGGACUCGCGGCUUAUCAGCUUGUUGGUGGGGUAGUGGCUUACCAAGGCUUUGACGGGUAGCCGGCCUGAGAGGGUGACCGGCCACAUUGGGACUGAGAUACGGCCCAGACUCCUACGGGAGGCAGCAGUGGGGAAUAGUGCACAAUGGGCGGAAGCCUGAUGCAGCAACGCCGCGUGCGGGAUGACGGCCUUCGGGUUGUAAACCGCUUUCGCCUGUGACGAAGCGUGAGUGACGGUAAUGGGUAAAGAAGCACCGGCUAACUACGUG